UAAUACGAAGGGGGCUAGCGUUGCUCGGAAUUACUGGGCGUAAAGGGCGCGUAGGCGGCGGCCCAAGUCAGGCGUGAAAUUCCUGGGCUCAACCUGGGGACUGCGCUUGAUACUGGGUUGCUUGAGGAUGGAAGAGGCUCGUGGAAUUCCCAGUGUAGAGGUGAAAUUCGUAGAUAUUGGGAAGAACACCGGUGGCGAAGGCGGCGAGCUGGUCCAUUACUGACGCUGAGGCGCGACAGCGUGGGGAGCAAACAGGAUUAGAUACCCUGGUAGUCCACGCCGUAAACGAUGUGCGCUGGAUGUUGGGGCCCAUAGGGUCUCAGUGUCGUAGCCAACGCGGUAAGCGCACCGCCUGGGGAGUACGGCCGCAAGGUUGAA
rnacentral:rRNA from 1 species